UACAGAGGUCUCGAGCGUUAAUCGGAGUCACUGGGCUUAAAGGGUGCGUAGGCGGUUCUGUAAGUGCUUUGUGAAAUCCCAUGGCUUAACCAUGGAAUUGCUUGGCAUACUGCAGAACUUGAGGUUGGUAGGGGUCGCUGGAACUCUAGGUGGAGCGGUGAAAUGCGUAGAUAUCUAGAGGAACGCCAAAGGUGAAGACAGGCGACUGGGCCAAUUCUGACGCUGAGGCACGAAAGCGUGGGGAG
rnacentral:rRNA from 1 species